GUCAGACACAAAUACUUGGCUGGGCAGGAAGAUUCGAGCAGAUCCACAGAGCCCUCUUGAUCAGAACCAGAUAAGCUUGGACAACUGAACACACCCAGGCGGACAGUUAGCUGGAGUCUGAGAAACCCUCAGUGAGGCCGCCCCGUGGGUCGCGUAGCUACGUACAGAUGAGGCUGACAGCAUCGGAGGCAGGGCUCCAGCUGGACCCCUGACAAAGCUUCCCCUGGUCCUCGGAUGGAGCCUCCUGGGCAAGCACGGCUCUCAAGGCCAAGGUGCGCUGGAUCCUGCAUGAGUGCCCUGGAGCAGUCACUGUCUCCUUCGUGCCUCAGACAAAGCACUCAGAGGAUCUUUUGCUCUCCCCUUCUUCCUGCUUCCUCCAAGGCAUCCCAGUGCUCACAAGCAGCACAUCGGCCCGUGGUGUACUCGCACAUACAUGCACGCACACAGACGCGGCCCCACAAGGAGCUGAGCAAUGGAGGGGCUGGCCUGGCCUGGGGAGUGCCCAUGUGUGUGCAUAUUUGGUGGCAAAGCAGGGGAACGUGAGCCCGGAGGCUAUCUUGCU
rnacentral:lncRNA from 1 species